UGACCUGUAUGAUGAUGUGCUGACAG
rnacentral:piRNA from 1 species